rnacentral:lncRNA from 1 species
AGUUGCAUCUUCCCCGAUCAUAUCGGGUGUAGGGAUAUUCAGAAUAUAGGAGACUUUAUUCUAUGUGAGAAUAAUUCUCAGGUUCCUCAAUCAGUCUACAUAAUUGGAUCUGAUUAAUUUAUUGGCAUCAAGUAUGCCACACAGUAAAAGUGAAGAUACCAUUAUACAGAUUAAUCUACAAUAACAAGGAACUAAUAUAAGCAGAUAACUCAUGAUGACAUGCACAACUAGAUUAGAUCUU